UGCUUGGUGGUGUAGUGGUAGAGCACGCGUCUCCGCAUAGGAUGAAAAGCGCGUUCGAUUCUCGCCUUAGGCCG